CCUUUGAAAAUGGAGCUACUGUAGUUGGCCUAUUCAAUGGUUAGAGAUGCCACACAAGGUCAUAAGCUCUGAAACACACAUCAAAGACAGGUGGUGCUCCAGCUACUAAGAGCUCACAAAGACCAGAUUACCAUCAGAAAUGGCCAGAUUCAGACCCAGCCGGAGCCAGAGCUUGACUCUUAACCGUCGAAGACGUCGUGGAAGGAGCCGUGGAGGUGGAUCAGGAAGGAGGCGGAGAAGACGAGGCCAUGGUAAAAGAAAAGGGCAUAAGCAUCAUGGUCACAGAAGAGGAAGAAGAAGGCAAAGACACCACUAAACCUCUCCCAUUUUGAUGUCUGUGCCCUUGAUUUCCAGUUCAUUCACCUCACAAAGCCUCUGCUGAAGAAAAAUGAAACAGAACAUUCCUUCCACUGAAACAUGCAAGAACAAUUCCAAGAAUCAGGGAGCCUUGAAGAAUUUUGACUUUACCACCUGUCAAUAAAUGCUGACAUUUCA